rnacentral:lncRNA from 1 species
GUGUCACCAGCCGCCCAAGUAGGAACCGUCUCCUCCCCCGACCCCCUUGUCUUUUCCAGACCCCCUCCCGGCUCCCCAGCUCACCGUGUCCCCGCAGCCGCCUGUCUACGUAACUGGAGAAGCUGUGACCCUGACGUGCUCAGCUACAGGGGCACCCACCGUGUCCGGGGUCCGGUUCUUCAGGAACGGCCAAAAAAUCCACUCCAAGAAACUCCCCUCACCCUGGUACAGUUACUCUGAGUUGAUUCCACUGUCGGGGGUGUCUGGAUUGCGAGCUGUAAAGUACAGCUGUGAAUCCUGGAAGACAGUGUCUGGGAGAGAAAUUGCAUCGGAGACGAGCCAACACAUCUCCAUAGCACUGACAGAUCCCCCUCCCCAGCCUUCGCUGAGCAUGGAUCCCCCAUCCGGAGUGGUGAACGAAGGGCUCCCCCUGCUCAUCACCUGCACGGGCCCCAGGGAUGCUGGUCAGCGGAGGUUUCACUUCUACAAGGACAGUGUCAAGCUCAUUCCUGGGAAUGUGGAGUCUGAGAUCAGCACCACAGAGCCCAGCACCAGGUCUAUGAACAUCUCUCUGCUCAGCAUCCCGCAGGCUGGUCCUAACAACACCGGGGAAUUCACCUGCGGGUACGAGGAGAACGUGGGUGGAAGGUGGAUCCCAUCCCCCAGGAGCCACGCUGUGACUGUCACUGUGACAGGUGAGACUUCCCUAAUUUCUUAAUCCAGCUCCUGGUUUGCUCCCAUUGGAGGGGAACCAUCCC